UGGCUCUGGUCUAAAGUAGUGCACUAUAUAGGGAAUAGGGCUCUGGUCUAAAGUAGUACACUAUAUAGGGAAUAGGGCUCUGGUCUAAAGUAGUGCACUAUAUAGGGAACGGGGUGCCAUUUGACACGGUCUUACUAAAUGUAGACAUUCAUCUGAUGGAUUCAACUGUCAUUUUUCAAACAAAAUAAACAAGUUUACCUGAAAGGUGGUCAAACGCAGUCGGGGAGGAAUCAGUUUAAUUUAUAAUGAGUCAGUCAACACUUCGGUAGAACACUGAGCCAUGACUGUCCACUAGAUGGCGGUAGAGUCUCACUAUGAUCAGAGAGAGAAGUCAAACACAGUCAGGCUGCUUAGGUCCUCUACUGCUGUGUGUAGACUGGCUGCUUAGGUCCUCUACUGCUGUGUGUAGACUGGCUGCUAGGUCCUCUACUGCUGUGUGUAGACUGGCUGCUUAGGUCCUCUACUGCUGUGUGUAGACUGGCUGCUAGGUCCUCUACUGCUGUGUGUAGACUGGCUGCUAGGUCCUCUACUGCUGUGUGUAGACUGGCUGCUUAGGUCCUCUACUGCUGUGUGUAGACUGGCUGCUUAGGUCCUCUACUGCUGUGUGUAGACUGGCUGCUAGGUCCUCUACUGCUGUGUGUAGACUGGCUACUUAGGUCCUCUACUGCUGUGUGUAGACUGGCUGCUAGGUCCUCUACUGCUGUGUGUAGACUGGCUACUUAGGUCCUCUACUGCUGUGUGUAGACUGGCUGCUUAGGUCCUCUACUGCUGUGUGUAGACUGUUGUGGGGUUGGUAGGAUGUUGUGGGGUUUUGUUAGGAUGAUGUGGGGUUGGUAGGAUGUUGUGGGGUUGGUAGGAUGUUAUGGGGUUAGUAGGAUGUUAUGGGGUCAGUAGGAUGUUAUGGGGUUAGUAGGAUGUUAUGGGGUCAGUAGGAUGUUAUGGGGUCAGUAGGAUGUUAUGGGGUUAGUAGGAUGUUAUGGGGUUAGUAGGAUGUUAUGGGGUUAGUAGGAUGUUAUGGGGUUAGUAGGAUGAUAUGGGGUUAGUAGGAUGAUAUGGGGUUUAGUAGGAUGUUAUGGGGUUAGUAGGAUGUUAUGGGCCUUUAGUAGGAUGUUAUGGGGCUUUAGUAGGAUGUUAUGGGGUUAGUAGGAUGUUAUGGGGUUAGUAGGAUGUUAUGGGGUCGGUAGGAUGUUUUGGGGUUGGUAGGAUGUCUUGCAGUUAUGGUUAGUAGGAUGUUAUGGGGUUAGUAGGAUGUUGUGGGGUUAGUAGGAUGUUUUGCAGUUAGGGUUGGUAGGAUGUUAUGGGGUUAGUAGGAUGUUAUGGGGUCAGUAGGAUGUUAUGGGGUUAGUAGGAUGUUAUGGGGUCAGUAGGAUGUUAUGGGGUCAGUAGGAUGUUAUGGGGUUAGGUUUAGUAGGAUGUUAUGGGGUCAGUAGGAUGUUAUGGGGUUAGUAGGAUGUUAUGGGGUUAGGUUUAGUAGGAUGUUAUGGGGUCAGUAGGAUGUUAUGGGGUUAGUAGGAUGUUAUGGGGUCAGUAGGAUGUUAUGGGGUUAGGUUUAGUAGGAUGUUAUGGGGUCAGUAGGAUGUUAUGGGGUUAGUAGGAUGUUAUGGGGUCAGUAGGAUGUUAUGGGGUUAGGUUUAGUAGGAUGUUAUGGGGUCAGUAGGAUGUUAUGGGGUUAGGUUUAGUAGGAUGUUAUGGGGUCAGUAGGAUGUUAUGGGGUUAGGUUUAGUAGGAUGUUAUGGGGUCAGUAGGAUGUUAUGGGGUUAGUAGGAUGUUAUGGGGUCAGUAGGAUGUUAUGGGGUUAGGUUUAGUAGGAUGUUAUGGGGUCAGUAGGAUGUUAUGGGGUUAGGUUUAGUAGGAUGUUAUGGUUAGUAGGAUGUUAUGGUUAGUAGGAUGUUAUGGGGUUAGUAGGAUGUUUUGCAGUUAGGGUUGGUAGGAUGUUAUGGGGUUAGUAGGAUGUUUUGCAGUUAGGGUUGGUAGGAUGUUAUGGGGUUAGUAGGAUGAUAUGGGGUCAGUAGGAUAUUAUGGGGUUAGGUUUAGUAGGAUGUUAUGGGGUUAGUAGGAUGUUUUGCAGUUAGGGUUAGUAGGAUGUUAUGGGGUUAGUAGGAUGUUUUGCAGUUAGGGUUAGCAGGAUGUUAUGGGGUUAGUAGGAUGUUUUGCAGUUAGGGUUAGUAGGAUGUUAUGGGGUUAGUAGGAUGUUUUGCAGUUAGGGUUAGUAGGAUGUUUUGCAGUUAGGGUUAGUAGGAUGUAAUGGGGUCAGUAGGAUAUUUUGGGGGUAUUUCAGCACUCCUCUGUUUGGGGUGACAACAAUACACCUUCCGAUCAUAAUCUCUCCAUGAGCACAGCCAUAGUCCUCUCUCUCUCUCUACACCCCACCACCACCUUUCUCUCUCCUCUCUCUGUCUCUCUCCUCUCUCUGUCUCUCUCUCUCUCCUC